AGAGUUUGAUCAUGGCUCAGAUUGAACGCUGGCGGCAGGCCUAACACAUGCAAGUCGAACGGUAACAGGAAACAGCUUGCUGUUUCGCUGACGAGUGGCGGACGGGUGAGUAAUGUCUGGGAAACUGCCUGAUGGAGGGGGAUAACUACUGGAAACGGUAGCUAAUACCGCAUAACGUCGCAAGACCAAAGAGGGGGACCUUCGGGCCUCUUGCCAUCAGAUGUGCCCAGAUGGGAUUAGCUAGUAGGUGGGGUAACGGCUCACCUAGGCGACGAUCCCUAGCUGGUCUGAGAGGAUGACCAGCCACACUGGAACUGAGACACGGUCCAGACUCCUACGGGAGGCAGCAGUGGGGAAUAUUGCACAAUGGGCGCAAGCCUGAUGCAGCCAUGCCGCGUGUAUGAAGAAGGCCUUCGGGUUGUAAAGUACUUUCAGCGGGGAGGAAGGGAGUAAAGUUAAUACCUUUGCUCAUUGACGUUACCCGCAGAAGAAGCACCGGCUAACUCCGUGCCAGCAGCCGCGGUAAUACGGAGGGUGCAAGCGUUAAUCGGAAUUACUGGGCGUAAAGCGCACGCAGGCGGUUUGUUAAGUCAGAUGUGAAAUCCCCGGGCUCAACCUGGGAACUGCAUCUGAUACUGGCAAGCUUGAGUCUCGUAGAGGGGGGUAGAAUUCCAGGUGUAGCGGUGAAAUGCGUAGAGAUCUGGAGGAAUACCGGUGGCGAAGGCGGCCCCCUGGACGAAGACUGACGCUCAGGUGCGAAAGCGUGGGGAGCAAACAGGAUUAGAUACCCUGGUAGUCCACGCCGUAAACGAUGUCGACUUGGAGGUUGUGCCCUUGAGGCGUGGCUUCCGGAGCUAACGCGUUAAGUCGACCGCCUGGGGAGUACGGCCGCAAGGUUAAAACUCAAAUGAAUUGACGGGGGCCCGCACAAGCGGUGGAGCAUGUGGUUUAAUUCGAUGCGACGCGAAGAACCUUACCUGGUCUUGACAUCCACGGAAGUUUUCAGAGAUGAGAAUGUGCCUUCGGGAACCGUGAGACAGGUGCUGCAUGGCUGUCGUCAGCUCGUGUUGUGAAAUGUUGGGUUAAGUCCCGCAACGAGCGCAACCCUUAUCCUUUGUUGCCAGCGGUCCGGCCGGGAACUCAAAGGAGACUGCCAGUGAUAAACUGGAGGAAGGUGGGGAUGACGUCAAGUCAUCAUGGCCCUUACGACCAGGGCUACACACGUGCUACAAUGGCGCAUACAAAGAGAAGCGACCUCGCGAGAGCAAGCGGACCUCAUAAAGUGCGUCGUAGUCCGGAUUGGAGUCUGCAACUCGACUCCAUGAAGUCGGAAUCGCUAGUAAUCGUGGAUCAGAAUGCCACGGUGAAUACGUUCCCGGGCCUUGUACACACCGCCCGUCACACCAUGGGAGUGGGUUGCAAAAGAAGUAGGUAGCUUAACCUUCGGGAGGGCGCUUACCACUUUGUGAUUCAUGACUGGGGUGAAGUCGUAACAAGGUAACCGUAGGGGAACCUGCGGUUG
rnacentral:rRNA from 1 species